AGCGAACGCUGGCGGCGGGCCUAACACAUGCAAGUCGAACGGACCCUUCGGGGUUAGUGGCGGACGGGUGAGUAACACGUGGGAACGUGCCUUUAGGUUCGGAAUAGCUCCUGGAAACGGGUGGUAAUGCCGAAUGUGCCCUUCGGGGGAAAGAUUUAUCGCCUUUAGAGCGGCCCGCGUCUGAUUAGCUAGUUGGUGAGGUAAUGGCUCACCAAGGCGACGAUCAGUAGCUGGUCUGAGAGGAUGACCAGCCACAUUGGGACUGAGACACGGCCCAAACUCCUACGGGAGGCAGCAGUGGGGAAUCUUGCGCAAUGGGCGAAAGCCUGACGCAGCCAUGCCGCGUGGACGAUGAAGGUCUUAGGAUUGUAAAAUCCUUUCACCGGUGAAGAUAAUGACUGUAGCCGGAGAAGAAGCCCCGGCUAACUUCGUGCCAGCCGCCGCGGUAA
rnacentral:rRNA from 1 species